rnacentral:rRNA from 1 species
UACGGGGGGAGCAAGCGUUGUUCGGAUUUACUGGGCGUAAAGGGCGCGUAGGCGGCCACCGCAAGUCGACUGUGAAAUCUCCGGGCUUAACCCGGAAAGGUCAGCCGAUACUGCGGGGCUAGAGUGCAGAAGGGGCAACUGGAAUUCCUGGUGUAGCGGUGGAAUGCGCAGAUAUCAGGAGGAACACCGGUGGCGAAGGCGGGUCUCUGGGCAGUAACUGACGUGAGGAGCGAAAGCGUGGGGAGCGAACAGG